rnacentral:rRNA from 1 species
UGGGGAAUAUUGGACAAUGGGCGCAAGCCUGAUCCAGCAAUUCCGCGUGUGUGAAGAAGGCCUUCGGGUUGUAAAGCACUUUAGGCAGGGACGAAAAAAUACGGCGCGAAUAUCGCCGGUCUUGACGGUACCUGAGGAAUAAGCACCGGCUAACUCUGUGCCAGCAGCCGCGGUAAUACAGAGGGUGCAAGCGUUAAUCGGAUUUACUGGGCGUAAAGCGUGCGUAGGGCGGUUCGCUAAGUCGGUUGUGAAAUCCCUGGGCUUAACCUGGGAACUGCAGUCGAUACUGGCGGACUAGAAUGCGGUAGAGGGUGGCGGAACUCCGGGUGUAGCGGUGAAAUGCGUAGAUAUCCGGAAGAACACCGAUGGCGAAGGCAACCACCUGGGCCUGCAUUGACGCUGAGGUACGAAAGCGUGGGGAGCAAACAGGAUUAGAUACCCUGGUAGUCCACGCUGUAAACGAUGAGAACUUGACGUCGGUUCGCCUAGCGAAUCGGUGUCGUAGCUAACGCGCUAAGUUCUCC